rnacentral:rRNA from 1 species
GAUGAACGCUGGCGGCGUGCCUAAUACAUGCAAGUCGAGCGAACAGACGAGGAGCUUGCUCCUCUGACGUUAGCGGCGGACGGGUGAGUAACACGUGGAUAACCUACCUAUAAGACUGGGAUAACUUCGGGAAACCGGAGCUAAUACCGGAUAAUAUAUUGAACCGCAUGGUUCAAUAGUGAAAGACGGUUUUGCUGUCACUUAUAGAUGGAUCCGCGCCGCAUUAGCUAGUUGGUAAGGUAACGGCUUACCAAGGCAACGAUGCGUAGCCGACCUGAGAGGGUGAUCGGCCACACUGGAACUGAGACACGGUCCAGACUCCUACGGGGGGCAGCAGUAGGGAAUCUUCCGCAAUGGGCGAAAGCCUGACGGAGCAACGCCGCGUGAGUGAUGAAGGUCUUCGGAUCGUAAAACUCUGUUAUUAGGGAAGAACAAAUGUGUAAGUAACUAUGCACGUCUUGACGGUACCUAAUCAGAAAGCCACGGCUAACUACGU